rnacentral:lncRNA from 1 species
UGGUUUUGGUACAAAUCUUGUAUGAUUUGGAGUUUAUAUGAAGGAGACUAGGGAUUCUUCUUGAAUACAUCUUUUAUCAUCUAAUUGUUGGCUCGACUGCAUUUGUUGAUCCCAGUUAUUGAAAUUAAAUGGAGCAUUGCACUACUCAUACGUGUAUCUAGACUGCUUACAAUUACUAUAUAUUGGAGCAUAUUUGUCAUUGGCUCUUGAAUUGAGACAUUCACUAGCAUAACAUCCUAUCUACCUACAACAAGAACAUCAAAGUGGUCUUCUUCCAACUCCAUCAAGAAUAUUGGAUGUUUAUACUGAUAUAUACUGGCUACACAUGUUCUAAGUUGAAUGGGUAAAUGAUCUUGGCUGUCCACUUGAUACUAUAGAAUCUGAAAUUGGUUUUUGAAUGAAUGGUUAUUGGUAAUAUCCUUGCUGAUUUUGCUCAAUACAUUGAGAAUUGGAACCACAUUCUUGGUUAUACAUAGAAUUUAGAAGAUUAAAAAAAUUCCUAUUUUAUUUAUUUGAAUGAUUUUUGCUAUAGCUAAACCUAUUUCCUAUCU